AACAGUCAGCUCAGAACUGGUACGGACA
rnacentral:ncRNA from 2 species